rnacentral:misc_RNA from 1 species
GAUGAAGAACGUAGCGAAAUGCGAUAAGUAAUGCGAAUUGCAGAAUUCAGCGAGUCAUCGAAUCUUUGAACGCAUAUUGCGCCCCUUGGUAUUCCGAGGGGCAUGCCUGUUCGAGCGUCAUUAUCACCCCUCAAGCCCCCCUGGCUUGGUGUUGGACGGUUUUGGUGGGACGUGCAGCCUCUCACCCCUCCUAAAGACAAUGACGGCGGCGUCGUUGGAACCCCCGGUACACUGAGCUUCUUAACUGAGCACGUACUGGAUGCGGGUACGCGAUGCACGGUCUGCCUCCCCUUUAGGGAGAACUUUUUCUUAAGGUUGACCUCGGAUCAGGUAGGAAUACCCGCUGAACUUAAGCAUAUCAAUAAGCGGAGGA